AGAGUUUGAUCAUGGCUCAGGAUGAACGCUAGCUACAGGCUUAACACAUGCAAGUCGAGGGGAAACGACAUCGAAAGCUUGCUUUUGAUGGGCGUCGACCGGCGCACGGGUGAGUAACGCGUAUCCAACCUGCCCACCACUUGGGGAUAACCUUGCGAAAGUAAGACUAAUACCCAAUGACGUCUCUAGAAGACAUCUGAAAAGAGAUUAAAGAUUUAUCGGUGAUGGAUGGGGAUGCGUCUGAUUAGCUUGUUGCGGGGUAACGGCCACCAAGGCGACGAUCAGUAGGGGUUCUGAGAGGAAGGUCCCCACAUUGGAACUGAGACACGGUCCAAAACUCCUACGGAGGCA
rnacentral:rRNA from 1 species